UCCGAUUCUCCAUGGAUUCAUCCCAUGAGAUGUACAGUUUAGCUAACAUAAAAGUGACAUUGGGGCUUAUUAUAAACAGGCGAGCGACAUAAAAAUGUCUAAAUAUGUCUAAAGUGGUUUGAGGCAAGGCCUAACCCGGACAAAACCCAACAGCGUUCGCUGCAGUGCAGUGCGCAUUAUGUGCGUAGGACGACAAUGGUGCACUAUCAGAAUGAAGGAGAUGCAAAGAGAGCCCUAGCCAAGCAGGGAGAGAAGGCAGUACAGAGUUUCAGACGGAGAAAGAGAACGCACACUUACCUACUGUAGAGCAAAAAGAGAGAAGUCAUAAGAUUCCAGAGGUUGAAACUGGCAGGGAGAUUUUAAGCAAAUGGCAUCUGGUUAAAGGUCAGAUUCGGGGGCCCCAGUGGGUGAAAGGUUGAAUAACUCCAAGUAAGGUAGUGACCAUGUCUUCUGGGAGAUGUUUUGGAGCUCGUUUUAGGCAACAACUUAUCAUAGGACCAAUCUAAUCCUUUAAAACCUUAAAUAAAAAACAUUUUGUAUUAUUGAUCAUUUGAGUGUUUAGAGAAACUUCUUGUAGUUAAAUAUUUUUUGUUGUAAACUUUAGAAAACAAACAAAUGAGUUAAAGAUGUUACUGUCAAGAUUUUAGUGUUUAAUCAGUUUACAGCUAGUUCAGUUCAGAUGUAUUGGAUUUCUUCACUUUGAUUGAUUGUUUUUACCCAGCCUUUAAAAAUAAGUGAAGAAAAAGGUUUGUUGGAGGGAUCACAGUUUUGAGUUCAAACUGCAGGUGUGUAAAUUGGAACAUGCACGUUUCUUCUAAAUUGGGCAUUGAGGGCUCGGAGAGAGCGGUGGGGGAAAUUAGUGGAAUAACUGGUUGAUUCUAACCAGAUGAUUGCUUCAGUUGGACACCAGAGAGUUUUCAUUAGGUCUCUAAUUUACAAGCCUCCCUCUGCAUUCCAGCCGGUGGACCCUCUGCCCCAGGUCUUAAAGAUCUCCUUUAGCCUUUGCCCCUUGCAAAAGUUGUUGCCAAAGCCAUGCACUUUGCAAUGUACAAAUUACUUUAUGUUAAACUUCAAGUGUUAGAGGAAUUGAUAUUUAAACAUUAUCACUUUUCAACUGUAUUAUUCAUCAUAAUAUGUAUAUGUUAAUAUAAUAAGGUCGGUCAGGUGUCGGUAAGAAAGCAGCUAUAGUACAUCCUUAACAUCAGUCAACUUUGUAUGUGUUUAUUAUAUAUAUUAUAAAGCCAUUAAAACCCCUGCUGAAAGAGUUUACUGCAGAGGUUGCCGUGAAAAACUUUUACACUUUUGAUCUUUUGUUACUCAGAAAUAUAUUCAGGGAACUGGAACAAACACUUUUGAUUUAAUCAUUUACCAUAUCUCAAACACCAAUUGUCAGCGCAACACAAACGUGACCACAAAUAUGUCAAAGCAUGUUUUAGGUGGAUGCUCUUUUGGAUUGCUGAUACAAAGGAGUGCACAAUGAUGACAAUGAGCUGUAAAGAUUUGACAAAUCUAAGUAACAGCAAACGCGUUCAUGCUUCAU